ensembl:lncRNA
GCUAUGGGGAACGAAAACCUGCUUCGGUAACACGUUACUCAGAAUUAAAAGUCACAAAAUCUGUGAAUUCCUAAUACCCAGCCUGCUGUGUGUUAAAUGCAGAGAAAAUGCUCCUAUUUCUCAUUCAACUUGGGGAGCUCACUGAAAGGGUUUGCUGCCCACACCUAGGGGCAGUUCAGAUGCUCACCUUGGGGUGUAAAUAAAUAAAGCUCAGAUGAAUCCAUGGUAAAUGUUACAGUGUAGAGGGAUUAAGUUUUAUUAUUCACUUUGUGGUUCCAGUAACUAUUUGCUCCAGGAAAAACAUAAACAAUUCUGAAUAAUGAACACUGGGUUUCUGAUCAGCUAUAUCUUCUGAAAUUCAGUUUCUCUGAUGGUUCCAUGUGGCUUCUGAAGGGAGAAAAUUGUGAGCACACAAAGAACCACUCCGACCCGCAUCCUAGUGAACAGGCGAAGCCAGUGAGAGUGUAAAGGAGAAAACAGACCACUGCAGGUCCUGGAGAUGGGCCGGUCUUCCUCCUGUCCCCAGCAGCAUGUUAAAGGGCACAGUUCAAGGGUGAGGUUAAGGGUUCCAUCUCCCGGCUGUCUUCUUGGAAGCAGGAAAUCAAUCUCUCCUGUGAAGGUACACUCUGGGAGCUGAGGCCUGAAGGUGGAGAGCUGUAGGCCCGAACAUCAAAGUGAUUAAUCUGACCAAGUUAAUGCGAUGAUUUCACACUUAAGUCGGGUGUUGCAAGUAUGUUGCCUAUCUCCUACUGGUAUAAAGCUGAUUGUUGUCUGUUAAUGUCUCUAUUUGAUCAUGGUCAACUUCAACAGGUCUCCCCAAAUGAAGAGCAUCCUACAGCGAGAAAUGCCCAGCAUAAAACUUCACAGACCACUUUGGACACAUUGAAACAGUGUUGGCUCCGGGGAUUCCUGGAGCCGAAAAAACUGGAAGAGGCUGGAGCCUCUGGAGAGAGCUCGGUGCUGGGACACCCUGACCUCAGAUGUCUGGUCUCCAGGACUGAGAGAGGACAGGCUUCUGUUGUUCAGAGCGUCCGUGUGGUCGUUUGUCACCGCUGCCCAGGAAGCCCAUGCAGCUGGUGGGCGGCUCCCUGCCCCGAUCUAAAGCCUCCAGCCCAUUAGGGACAGCCCCCUGCACCUAUGCCGUCUGCACGAAUCCGUGAGGUUCAUGCUGAGCGCUGGCGCUCCUGCUCGGCACAGGCAUUUUGGAGGGUGUGGGCAGACACCACCACGUGCCCAGCCCCCAGCCAGGUGCCAAGUCUCUAGUGCGCUCCGUGGGGGGACGGGUAAGGGCUCUGCCCUUGGUUGCUGGGGGAAGAGACUCCCCAGACACCCUCGAGGGAGGAGGGGCAGGAAGGUGGUGAGUGGCCGGCUCAGGGCCCCGCCCACCCGGGCAGCCCCACUGCGCCUGAGGCGCGUCUCGGCAGUGAGCACCCAGCCUGUGCUGAGCCCAGGAGCCUCCCAGCAGGUCCCGAGGUGGCUCUGAGACCCCGCCCCUUCCUCCAGGGCUACUAGGGGGACACCCCUCCUCCCUGUCACUCCAGGAGGCCUGAGACCCCGCCCCUUCCUCCAGGGCUAGUAGGCAGUUCCGGAGCCGAUCUGGUCCAGAGAGAAGACAGGAAGCUACAAACAAAACCAGAUGGAACCAAUUAGUGAAACGAGAAUCCGGGUUCAGGCUGCGAUGUCAACGAAUGAUCUUCCACGGACAUGCAGAGACACACAGGGGCAGAGUUUCAUUUCAGAGAAUAGAAGUACAGGGCUCCCAGAAAAGACACUGGGAGGGGGAAAAGAAUUCCCUAAAAUGGACCCAGAUGAAUCUGACCUCCAGCAGACCCCGGUCUCACUGUGUGUUCAUUUUAGUGUAUUAUUGAUGUAGGAGAUAGAUGGGCUCCAGGC